rnacentral:rRNA from 1 species
UACAGAGGGUGCGAGCGUUGUUCGGAAUUAUUGGGCGUAAAGAGCUCGUAGGCGGUCUGUUGCGUCCGCUGUGAAAACUCGGGGCUUAACCCCGAGCCUGCAGUGGAUACGGGCAGACUAGAGGUAGGUAGGGGAGAAUGGAAUUCCCGGUGUAGCGGUGAAAUGCGCAGAUAUCGGGAAGAACACCCCGUGGCGAAGGCGGCUCUCUGGGACGGUACUGACGCUGAGACGCGAAAGCGUGGGGAGCGAACAGG